CCUACGGGAGGCAGCAGUAGGGAAUCUUCGGCAAUGGGCGCAAGCCUGACCCAGCAACGCCGCGUGAAGGAAGAAGGCUUUCGGGUUGUAAACUUCUUUUGUCAGGGAAGAGGAGAAGACUGUACCUGGCGAAUAAGCCACGGCUAACUACGUGCCAGCAGCCGCGGUAAUA
rnacentral:rRNA from 1 species